rnacentral:rRNA from 1 species
AGAGUUUGAUCCUGGCUCAGAGCGAACGCUGGCGGCAGGCCUAACACAUGCAAGUCGAACGGACCCUUCGGGGUUAGUGGCGGACGGGUGAGUAACACGUGGGAACGUGCCUUUAGGUUCGGAAUAGCUCCUGGAAACGGGUGGUAAUGCCGAAUGUGCCCUUCGGGGGAAAGAUUUGUCGCCUUUAGAGCAGCCCGCGUCUGAUUAGCUAGUUGGUGAGGUAAUGGCCCACCAAGGCGACGAUCAGUAGCUGGUCUGAGAGGAUGACCAGCCACAUCGGGACCGAGACACGGCCCAAACUCCUACGGGAGGCAGCAGUGGGGAAUCUUGCGCAAUGGGCGAAAGCCUGACGCAGCCAUGCCGCGUGAAUGAUGAAGGUCUUAGGAUUGUAAAAUUCUUUCACCCGGGACGAUAAUGACGGUACCCGGAGAAGAAGCCCCGGCUAACUUCGUGCCAGCAGCCGCGGUAAU